rnacentral:tRNA from 1 species
UCUCCUGUAGCUCAGUGGAGAGCGUCCGACCGGUGUACGGAAGGUCAUAGGUUCGACUCCUGUUGGGGGAA